GCCGUUGUAGCUCAGUUGGUUAGAGCGAGGGACUCAUAAGCCCUAGGUGGCAGGUUCGAUUCCUGCCAACGGCA
rnacentral:tRNA from 1 species